rnacentral:snRNA from 1 species
AGCUUUGCGCAGUGGCAGUACCGUAGCCAAUGAGGUUUAUCCGAGGCGCGAUUAUUGCUAAUUAAAGACGGUUGGAAGUGGGGCGUAGCUUCAAGUUUUUAUCAACGGGCCUUGGCAGAGAGACAAGGGAGCCUCAAAACCCCUUUUCUGUCAUCUCCAGCCACAGAUGGAA